rnacentral:misc_RNA from 1 species
UAGUAACGACUCUGGAUGUAGGAGUAAACAGUUCGAUCCUCCGUGCAUGCUGAUCCAAAGUCAAUUAUUUUAAUUUCUGCUGCCUUCACACCUGUGCAAAGAAGAAUGUUUUCAGGCUUCAAAUCACAAUGAAUUAUCCCAGCAUCCUUUAGUAGAGCCAAGCCACGUAGAAUCUGUUUAGAGAACAAUUGGACAAUGCUCAGUGAUAAGCCCCUGAAUUGAUUUAUCUUGAUAAGCUCAUACAGAUUUGUGUCAAGCAAUUCAAAGCAAAUGCACAAAUGCCGCUGAA